UCCAAGUUCAGUUUUCUUCCAAGUGGCUGGGGAGGGAUGGGUCGGCCAUUAGGACACUGGGCGAAUCACAUCAGGGUCGGAAAGGCCCUGGACAGAAUGUACAGGAGGAGAGUGGGAUGUAAAAUUCUGACAUCUUCUUUCCUCUUCUGCUCCCAGCCCUCUCCAUGUCUGCACUGUCCCUGAGGACUGUCAAUUCUGCCUCAGAAACAUCAGCUUUGGAACCCAGUUCAUGUUUAGAUGUGGACCUUGCCACAUACGUAUUUCUCAUGAGUUUCAUUCCACACGGCCAUGGCCACCAAGUCUUGCUGAUUCCACCUGCUGCCUUGUAACAGAUCUGUCUCCUUCUCCCCGAUUCUUCCCGAGUGUGCUCCACUCUGGCCACUGGGUAUCCCCCCUCAUCACUUUCUAAUUUUCUGGGAUUCAGAAGAUUAUUUUCACUAACACAGCAUGAUGGAAUUGGGUAUGGACAGGAGAU
rnacentral:lncRNA from 1 species